GUUAUUGGUGGAGGGUGGAGGUUCCUCUUUUCGCUCCCUGUACAUGGAACGAUCGCCUUCCCUUCGGUUCAUAAGGGUCACACGACACUCACUGAAGACCAGAUUAUCGUUUUUGUUUUUUUCUAACCGUCUUCUUUGAUAGUCGGAUGAGAGGGGCGAUGGGCGAGCACAAAGCUAGCAUACAUCAUUAUCAAAGAUCGAACCGUCCACUUCAUAUCUUAAUGAUCAGAAUUUUCCCGCACGUCCAACACUAAUGUCGUACCGCCGACAGAUGCACACUGUACUGAGUCUCCUUCAAGGCCAAUCCACCGCAUCGCAUCCAAAAAUAACACAUCCUGGUAUUUUAAGAUGGUCGCUUGCAGUCUUUACCAAGAAUUCGUCCACAUCCAGCCAAAUGUUUCGGAGAUACAGAAAUAUUUUGACCAGAUUUUGCUUCGCUUUUGCACAAACCACUUCG
rnacentral:lncRNA from 1 species